AACACGGGUAGAAGCAUCAGUUUACCCUAAAUCAAUCCCUAAUCUUCGAAGAACACUCAACACUCCACUCCCAACCCUAAGCUCGAGGCUGGACAAUCUGCAAACGACGGACAACCGACGAACGCCGUGAAGAACACUCCCACCGUUGCGGGUCGUCGCGCACCGUUGCGGCUGCUGGGUUUCUGGGUUUUGGUCGCGGGUCGUGAAGCACCGUUGCGGGUUCUGGGUUUCUGCCUUCUGGGUUUCUGGGUUUUGGUUGCUGGUCGUGAAGCACCGUUGCGGGUUCUGGGUUUCUGGGUUUAUGGCUUCUGUUCGUUCUUCACUUGCGAUGGAACAAUCACAAAGUAACCCACAGCCACAAGAUACUGAAGAUGUUGAACUUCAAUUCAAAAGGCUUUUUAUUGAUCUUCUGUCGUGGUCCCCUCCCUCUGCUCUGCCUUGCUCGCCACAAUUUCUCCAGCCCCCUCUGCUCUGCCGUGGUCGCCUCCCUCUGCUCUUCCGUGCUUGCUGAAGAUUCUGGUAGGAAUGAGAUGAGAAUCAUAAUGAGGCAUCAACAACCCAGACAAUACCUUAUCCCCUUGAAGCACAUGAGCAGAAGCAUAUGCAGCAUUUUGGAGGUUGAAUUUUGUAAAAGACUGUUGUUUUUCAAAGGUGAUUCUUGAAAGUGACAAUAUAGAAGUAAUGGGUGUCCUCAAACAGAGAAGGUGUUUUAAUUCUUGUUUUGGAACUUCUAUUACUGAUGCCAUUUCACUUAUUAGAAAUUUUAGAUUUGUGGAAUUUAGUCAUGUUAAGAGGAAAGGGAAUAUAGUAGCUCAUGAAUUAGCAACCUUAGCUCUUACCACUCCAAAUUGCAUGUGGAUGGAAGAUGCCCCAAGCCAUGUUCAGAACUUGGCUAUGUUAGAUGUCUUUCCUUUAUCCUGAAUGAAAUUUCCUUUGUUUCAAAAAAUGUAUGGAAGAAUACUAUAUGUAUAUGCUGCAUAUUUAUGUUAGGUGCUGACUCUACAUAGCUUUCUUUUUGAA